CCGUGGGACGCCGUUCAGUUGAGUUUUGGUUACUGCCGCCAACGGUUAUCGAGCUGAAAGUGAGCGCGUGUCGAGCUUUUUUGGUGCCCAGUUGUUUGGGCCAGCUUCGUGGGCGACUGGAUUGGCAGCAAGCAUAAACAAACGAAGUGCGAAAUUGCUCGGAAAUCAGCUAAUUGACACUACGGACAUGCGACGGCCAGACUUUGGCCAAAUUUGGCCUGGCCAAAAGGAAGCGGAAGCACUGCGGCCGCAAAAUACAUUGUAAACUGCUAACUGCUAAACUGCAGGGGAAGUGUAGCGAAUAGUGUGCGAAUGGAAGUCGAGUAAAAAUCAAGCAACUCGAAUAGAUAUAUAUACAUAUAUAUCUUUAUAUCCCUGCGGGAGUCGCUCCCCCGUGUGUGUGUCGGUGUGCAUUUGUGUGUGUGUGCCAGGAGUUGGGCUGGGCAAAUAAGUGCUCGUGCUCUGGUUUUUUAGCCAGUUUAUCUUAAGGCGAAAUACUGUAAAAAAUUGUAAAAUGGAUUUACGUUUCGUAUUCAUCGUUUUCCUGCUCAAGUGGACCCAUGCACAAGGAUCCCAUCCGCCGCGGAUAGUGGAGCAUCCCAUAGAUACGACAGUGCCGCGACACGAGCCAGCCACGCUUAAUUGCAAAGCCGAGGGCAGCCCCACGCCCACCAUCCAGUGGUACAAGGAUGGGGUGCCCCUGAAGAUCCUGCCGGGCUCCCACCGCAUCACCCUGCCAGCCGGCGGAUUGUUUUUCCUCAAGGUUGUCAAUUCACGUCGCGAAACAGAUGCGGGCAUCUACUGGUGCGAGGCGAAGAACGAACUGGGCGUGGCAAGGAGUCGGAACGCCACGUUGCAAGUGGCGGUUCUCCGCGAUGAGUUCCGCCUGGAGCCGCAGAACACACGGAUCGCCCAGGGCGAUACCGCCCUCCUCGAGUGCGCCGCCCCUCGGGGAAUCCCCGAGCCUACAGUCACCUGGAAGAAGGGCGGCCAGAAAUUGGAUUUGGAGGGCUCGAAGCGAGUACGCAUCGUUGACGGCGGCAAUUUGGCCAUCCAGGAUGCCCGCCAGACUGACGAGGGUCAGUACCAGUGCAUAGCCAAGAAUCCUGUCGGGGUGCGCGAGUCCUCGCUGGCCACACUCAAAGUGCACGUCAAGCCGUACAUCAUCCGGGGUCCGCACGAUCAAACGGUUUUGGAGGGUGCCUCGGUGACCUUUCCCUGUCGAGUGGGUGGUGACCCCAUGCCGGACGUACUGUGGCUGCGCACUGCCUCGGGUGGCAACAUGCCACUGGAUCGCGUGAGUGUCCUGGAGGAUCGCAGUCUGAGACUGGAGAGGGUCACCAUUGCGGAUGAAGGCGAGUACAGUUGCGAGGCGGAUAAUGUUGUGGGUGCCAUCACCGCGAUGGGAACUUUGACUGUUUACGCCCCCCCGAAAUUCAUCCAACGUCCAGCGAGCAAGUCCGUGGAACUCGGCGCCGACACGUCCUUCGAGUGUCGAGCUAUAGGAAACCCAAAGCCCACCAUCUUCUGGACCAUCAAGAACAACAGCACGCUGAUAUUUCCGGGAGCCCCGCCCUUGGAUCGCUUUCACAGCCUCAACACCGAGGAAGGGCACUCGAUACUCACGUUGACCAGGUUCCAAAGAACGGACAAGGAUCUGGUCAUCCUGUGCAACGCCAUGAACGAGGUGGCCAGCAUUACCUCACGGGUGCAGCUGAGCCUGGACUCACAAGAGGACCGACCACCGCCGAUCAUAAUCUCCGGUCCGGUUAAUCAAACCCUACCCAUCAAGUCCCUGGCCACACUCCAGUGCAAGGCCAUCGGUCUGCCCAGUCCCACUAUUUCCUGGUAUCGCGAUGGAAUACCAGUGCAACCCAGUUCCAAGCUGAACAUUACCACGUCUGGGGACUUGAUCAUAUCGGACCUCGAUCGCCAACAGGAUCAAGGCCUAUACACCUGCGUGGCCAGCUCGCGGGCAGGGAAGUCCACUUGGAGUGGUUUCCUCCGGAUAGAGUUGCCCACCAAUCCGAAUAUUAAGUUCUACAGAGCCCCGGAGCAGACUAAGUGUCCCAGUGCCCCGGGCCAACCGAAAAUUCUGAACGCCACUGCCUCGGCACUGACCAUUGUUUGGCCCACCAGUGACAAGGCGGGUGCAUCGUCGUUCCUGGGCUAUAGUGUGGAGAUGUACUGCACCAAUCAGAGCAGGACUUGGAUACCCAUUGCAUCGCGUUUGAGUGAGCCGAUUUUCACGGUAGAGAGUUUGACACAGGGAGCGGCGUACAUGUUCAUUGUUCGAGCGGAAAACUCCCUGGGCUUCUCACCACCCUCCCCCAUCUCGGAACCCAUUACGGCGGGAAAACUUGUGGGCGUGCGGGAUGGUAGUGAAAGCACCGGGACCUCACAGCUCCUCCUCAGCGAUGUGGAGACCCUGCUGCAGGCCAACGAUGUAGUGGAGCUACUGGAGGCCAAUGCCAGUGAUUCGACGACCGCUCGACUGUCUUGGGACAUAGACAGUGGUCAGUACAUCGAGGGCUUCUAUCUGUACGCCCGGGAGCUGCACUCCUCCGAGUACAAAAUGGUUACACUGCUCAACAAGGGUCAGGGCCUGAGCUCCUGCACGGUGCCUGGACUGGCGAAGGCCUCCACGUACGAGUUUUUUCUUGUGCCAUUUUACAAGAGCAUCGUAGGCAAGCCCUCGAACUCGCGACGCAUGAGAACUUUGGAAGAUGUUCCGGAGGCGCCGCCUUAUGGCAUGGAAGCCAUCCAAUUCAAUCGCACCUCGGUCUUCUUGAAGUGGCUACCUCCACAACCAAAUCGGACUCGCAACGGCAUCCUCACCAGCUACAAUGUGGUCGUCAAAGGCCUGGACGUGCACAAUACGACGCGGAUAUUCAAAAAUAUGACCAUAGACGCGGCCACGCCCACCCUGCUCCUGGCCAACCUCACCACAGGAGUCACCUACUAUAUCGCAGUGGCGGCUGCCACGCGGGUGGGGCGAUUGAUUCUCGAAUACUGCAAGGAUAGCGGGUUUCUGUGCUCUCUAUGUAAUAGGACACUGGCUACACGAGAUACCCCAUCAGUCGUGAUAUUGCCGAUGACUUUUUAACGCAGACCUGGUUUAUCGUCCUGCUGGGCUCCAUCAUUGCCAUAAUUGUGUUUCUAUUGGGCGCAUUGGUUCUAUUCAAGCGCUACCAAUUUAUCAAGCAGACCUCGCUGGGCAGUUUACAUGGCAAUCACGCAAUCGGAACCGUGCGAAAGUUUCCAACAUUGCCGCUAAAUGGAGGCGGAGCCGUCGGUGCCGGUGGCUCAAAUUCGACAGCCGCAGCUGGGCAGGGUGGGCAUGGCCUGUGGAUCGAUCCCACCAGCGGCGUUUGGCGACAGGCAGCGGGCGGCGGCAAUCCUGGCGGAGUGGGCUCGUGUUCGACAAAGGAGCAACUUCCGGGAUACGCACAGGCCACCGCCCAACAAGGACAACAGCCCACGCUGCUCCCCGAUUACGAGAGACUAUCGCCGCUGAAUAUGCCCGAUUACGCGGAAGUCGCCUGCUCGACAUUCAAAAGCCCCACCCAUGGAGCACCACCGAUGGGUGGUGGUGGCCAGUCGGCCUCCCUGUACGACAGCUGUGGGGCAUACGCCACCACCAAUGUGGUGGCCAAUGUGAAGCUCUACCAGAACCGCUAUGCGACAAAGCCGAGCCAGAACAGCGGCAGCAAUAACAACAAUCACCAGGGCAAUGACUACCAGUCGACCGGGAUGUACUCCGCUCCACCGAGCGCCCACUACGGAUGCCUGGAGCCGAAGCAGCAGCAGCAGCAGCAGCCCAAUCUGAUGACCACCUCCACGGCCAGCACGGCCAUCCUGACGAACUCGCCGGCCAAGGUGAAGAAGAUCAACAUAACCGAGAACAAAAUGGAUCAGCUGGAGGGCAAGCCGGAGCGGACGAACCCGUUCAACCAGCAGCAGCAGCUCCUCCUGGCCAGCAACGCCCUGAAGCAGGGACUGGGCGCCUACGCCAACACCACCUUGGCGGCCCAGAUGGCCAGUGGAGGUGGAGCGGGCACCUUGAGGCGCCAGCGGCAGCCCAAAACGCUUUACAAAAGCGAGAACAAUAUACUGGGCAAGUCUGGUCUGCGGCAGAACACCAUGAAUGCGAGUGUGGGUGCUCCCAGCAACGGGCAGAUGGACUUCCUGACCGGCGGGCCUCCGUCGGAGGGCGGAGACUUCUCCGGACUGGGCCUCUGCAACUCCACCAACCAGCUGCUCAACGACUGGGCCUCCAGUGCCUCGAUCGCAGCUCCCGGGGAUUAUCAUUUCGGCAGCAAGCAGCCCAGCAAGCAGCACCUCUACGUGAAGGCCAAGGACGGCACCUGGUCGGCCGUCAGCUCGGAUGCCUAUCAGUCCUUCAAGCACCAGCAGCAGCACCAUCCCUUCCUGGCAGGAUCAGGUGACAACACCAAGUCCCUAGCUAGUGUAAACAGCUUAGCUGGCGAUAGCAAAUUCCUGAGUAGUUUUGGCUCUAGUGCCAAUGUCUAGAGUCAACCUUUAAGCUUGGGUCAAUCGAAAAGUGCUCAAUAAGUUAGAGGAUUCUAGAGGAUUCCCAGAGGAUAAGUUGUAGGCGUAUAUCAGUUGGCAGGUGGAAGCUGGGUUGUGGAAUGUUGUGAGGGUUUGGUGGGGGUUGAACUUCUCUAAGAAAUGUGUAAUACCUUUCCUUUUAACUCCAGUAUAAUAUGAUUCCAGCUGAUCUAGCUAUCCCUAGAGCAAUAUAUAAACGCCAUAACCCUCAUUUACCCACCCAUAGCUCGAUUAGACUUCCACCAUCCGAUGAAAGUCCCCAAAUCAGAAUCAACAACGAAAUGUAUGUAAAGAGAUACAGAACACCCGAAGUAAUUGGCUUGUAAAUAUAACUCCCCUAACUAUAUCCUAUAUAUGUAAAACCUUAACCCUAAAGCAUUUAGAAUAUUGCAUUUGGAGCAAGCAAAAUAACUCUAAUUUACACAAGAAACCAGAAUCCAACCCAAAUAGCACAGACGUAGUUGAAGUAAGUACAGCGAUGGAAAUCUUUAAAAGUUUGCAGCAAACCAUUACGAACUUUUGCAGAAAGUGUUCCCACAGAUAAGGAAACCAAUGUUGAAGCCAAAAAAGAAGAAUACCCAACCCUAACGAAAAUAUUACUUAGAGUUACAUGAAAAGCACGAUGAAGUUAGUUGUGUGUGUUGAAAGUAUUGAAACUCACCUCCCGCAAAGCUAAAUAAAUGCUAAUAAUAAGGCUGUUAAAUGUAAAAUAUCAUAAACGAUUCAAGAAUGAAUGACUAAACCUACAUUUAAACCGUGUAAUUAAAGCAUUAAAAUGUAAUUAACUGACACUAGAUUUAGUUUGAAUAGCUAAAAUCGGAAAACCGACAAGAGAGAAAAGCGAAAGUGCAAGGAUUACAGCAAAUAGGGGGAUUUAGCUGGAAAAAGACAAAAUAAUUCAACUAAUCAAUUAAUUGAUAAAUUAUGCAAUGAGAAAACUAAAAAUAAAGAAAAAUAUA
rnacentral:misc_RNA from 1 species